UUCUGGUUGAUCCCGCCGGACCUGACUGCUAUCGGAUUGAUACUAAGCCAUGCGAGUCAUUGUAGCAAUACAAGGCAGACGGCUCAGUAACGCGUAGUCAACCUACCCUAUGGACGGGGAUAACCUCGGGAAACUGAGAAUAAUACCAGAUAGAACAUUAUACCUGGAAUGGUUUAUGUUUCAAAUAAUUUAUUGCCGUAGGAUGGGACUGCGGCCUAUCAGUUUGUUGGUGAGGUAAUGGCCCACCAAGACUAUUACAGGUACGGGCUCUGAGAGGAGUAGCCCGGAGAUGGGUACUGAGACACGGACCCAGGCCCUAUGGGGCGCAGCAGGCGAGAAACCUUUGCAAUGUGCGCAAGCACGACAAGGUUAAUCCGAGUGUUUCCUGCUAAAGGAAUCUUUUGCUAGUCCUAAAAACACUAGUGAAUAAGGGGUGGGCAAGUUCUGGUGUCAGCCGCCGCGGUAAAACCAGCACCUCAAGUUGUCAGGAGGAUUAUUGGGCCUAAAGCAUCCGUAGCCUGCUCUGCAAGUUUCCGGUUAAAUCCAUUUGCUCAACAAAUGGGCUGCCGGAAAAACUGCAAAGCUAGGGAGUGGGAGAGGUAGACGGUACUCGGUAGGAAGGGGUAAAAUCCUUUGAUCUAUUGAUGACCACCUGUGGCGAAGGCGGUCUACCAGAACACGUUCGACGGUGAGGGAUGAAAGCUGGGGGAGCAAACCGGAUUAGAUACCCGGGUAGUCCCAGCUGUAAACGAUGCAGACUCGGUGAUGCGU
rnacentral:rRNA from 1 species